rnacentral:rRNA from 1 species
GACGAAGGUGGCGACCGUUGUUCGGAAUCACUGGGCAUAAAGAGCACGUAGGCGGCAAGGUAUGUCGGGUGUGAAAUCCCUCGGCCCAACCGAGGAAUUGCGCCCGAAACUACCUUGCUUGAGGAUGGAAGGGGAGCGUGGAAUUCCUGGUGGAGCGGUGAAAUGCGUUGAUAUCGGGAGGAACACCGGCGGCGAAGGCGACGCUCUGGUCCAUUUCUGACGCUGAGGUGCGAAAGCCAGGGGAGCAAACGGG